CGGGGGGUGCAAGCGUUGUCCGGAUUUACUGGGCGUAAAGGGCGCGUAGGCGGGACGAUAAGUCGGAGGUGAAAUAUGCGGGCUCAACCUGCAAACUGCCUUCGAUACUGUCGUUCUUGAGUGCAGAAGGGGAGAGUGGAAUACCUGGUGUAGCGGUGGAAUGCGCAGAUAUCAGGUAGAACACCGGUGGCGAAGGCGGCUCUCUGGUCUGACACUGACGCUGAGGCGCGAAAGCGUGGGGAGCAAACAGGAUUAGAUACCCUGGUAGUCCACGCCGUAAACGAUGAGAACUAGAUGUCAGGGGAAUCGACCCCUCUGGUGUCGCAGCUAACGCAUUAAGUUCUCCGCCUGGGGAGUACGAUCGCAAGGUUG
rnacentral:rRNA from 1 species